AACGAACGCUGGCGGCAGGCUUAACACAUGCAAGUCGAACGAUGUAGCAAUACAUAGUGGCGCACGGGUGAGUGACGCGUGGGAAUGUACCAUUUGGUGGGGAAUAACUCCGGGAAACUGGAGCUAAUACCGCAUACGCCCUUCGGGGGAAAGAUUUAUCGCCAAAUGAUCAGCCCGCGUGAGAUUAGGUAGUUGGUGGGGUAAUGGCCUACCAAGCCUACGAUCUCUAGCUGGUCUGAGAGGAUGAUCAGCCACACUGGAACUGAGACACGGUCCAGACUCCUACGGGAGGCAGCAGUGGGGAAUAUUGGACAAUGGGGGCAACCCUGAUCCAGCCAUGCCGCGUGUGUGAAGAAGGCCUUAUGGUUGUAAAGCACUUUAAGCGAGGAGGAGGCUACUGAGACUAAUACUCUUGGAUAGUGGACGUUACUCGCAGAAUAAGCACCGGCUAACUCUGUGCCAGCCGCCGCGGUAA
rnacentral:rRNA from 1 species